UCACCUGUGCAUCCCAGAGAGCUGCCAAGUGUGGGAGAACUCAGAGAAAUACACAAGCUCAGGAGAAGGCACUGUGCUGGUUUUUGUCAUGUCCAUCUUUGUGACUGCCCUUGUAUACAAGGUGUGUUCCUCACAGUCCAGCUUUGACUGCUAAGAGAUUCAGAGCAGACGGGAAAAAUCAGUAAGCACACAAUGCUGAAUAGUGAUCAUCCUUCAAUCAGUGCUGUUUGUGACUGCAGAGAGAACACUUGCAUGGACAGCUGUUCUACACACCAAGGUGGCCAGGGGACCAAAGGGCCUGAACUCUGGACCUGGGUGCUGGCCCUCAAC